GCCUAGACGUAAACAAUUUAUUUACAUACUUUAACGCCCGGGUAUUACGAGCAAUGCUUAAAACCCAAAGGACUUGACGGUGUCUCACCCGCCUAGAGGAGCCUGUUCUAUAAUCGAUAACCCCCGCUUUACCUAACCAUUCUUUGCCUAAUCAGUCUGUAUACCUCCGUCGGAAGCUUACCAUAUGAACGCCCAUAGUAAGCCCAAUGGUCACCCACCAACACGUCAGGUCAAGGUGCAACUUAUAGGAUGGAAAGAAAUGGGCUACAAUUUCUAAAUUAGAACAAACGAAAGGCUGUCUGAAACCCCCAGUCAUGAAGGAGGAUCUAGUAGUAAAAGGGGAAUAGAGAGCUCCUUUUAACCCGGCACUGAGACGCGUACACACCGCCCGUCACCCUCUUCAAUAGUUAUUCGUCUAGAUUAUUAACAAAUUAACCACGCCUU
rnacentral:rRNA from 1 species